GUCCGUUUGGUGGUGGGGGAGUAGCCGGCUACGCCCGGGUAAUACCGCAUACGGUUCGCCGAGGGGAGUCCCUUGGCAAAGAAACCUCCGGGGCACAGAGAGGGGCUCGCGGCCUAUCAGCUAGUUGGGGGGGGUAAUGGCCCACCAAGGCGACGACGGGUAGCUGGUCUGAGAGGAUGGCCAGCCACAUUGGGACUGAGAGACGGCCCAG
rnacentral:rRNA from 1 species